rnacentral:sRNA from 1 species
UUCGAGGUGGUUGGGAAAUUGGUUUCCGC